CGCCGAUGGGGUGGCCCUUCGACUCCAGCCCCCCCGAGGGGUUGACGGGUCGACGACCGCCCAAGGUGGUGUGGCCUUGUUCCGCGA
rnacentral:tRNA from 1 species